AUGGCAGCAGUCCUGCAGUUGUGCGUCGAUGACCUCUGCUUGGUGUACCACAUCGCAGGGGCCACAAAAUGGCACAAGCGCCUAAAUGAGAUGCUGCAGCAUGAGAGGUUGUUCACAUUUGCCGGUUUCAGCAUUGAAAGUGACAAAGAGAAGCUGAAGAUGUGUGGUUUGGAGAUAAACCCCAACAAGUUCAUCGACAUUCAGCGCCUCUGGAGAGUUCCAUACACCGGAAAAGAGUACGACUCCUUGACUGAUGUUGCAGCCAGCGUCAUCCACCCAUUCUACAAAGGCAUGAAGAAGAACAUCGACACGCAGGAAGACCACAAACUGUGGGGGACCAGCCCGCUACCAAACAACCUCAUCGAGUACGCAGCAGUAGACGCGUACGCUGCGUACAAGUCACGGAACAUGAUCGACUACAUCACAGAUGGUUGGGAAUUUGCAAAAGAGCGGGAGGCUGACAACUACUACGACCGCCCCUAUUGCCCCUUUUCGGUAUGA
rnacentral:rRNA from 1 species